AUUAGUGAUUUAGCUCAUCAAAAUAUGUGGGUGAAAAAUAUUAAAACUCCAACUAAAAACCCCUCAAAUAAGACUAGAAUAAAAUUCUAAGAAUCACCCUAAAUCAUUCUACUCAGGAAUAACUUUUGCUAUGGUCUGAAUGCUUUUAUCUCCCUAAAAUUUAUAUGUUGAAAUCUCACCCCCAAUGUGAUGGUCUUAGGAGGUGGGACUGUUGAGAGGUGGCUAGGUCAUGAGGGCAGCACCCUCAUGAAUGGGAUUAGUGCCCUCAAAAAGAGGCUCCAGCGAGUGCAGUGGCUCAUGCCUGUAAUCCCAGGACUUUGGGAGGCUGAGUCAGGCAGAUCACGAGGUCAGGAGAUCGAGACCAUCCUGGCUAACACAGUGAAACCAUGUCUCUACUAAAAAUACAAAAAAUUAGCCGGGAGUGUUGGCGGGCGCCUGUAGUCCCAGCUACUCAGGAGGCUGAGGCAGUAGAAUCGCUUGAACCUGGGAGACAGAAGUUGUAGUGAGCCAAGAUCGCGCCACUGCACUUCAGCCUGGGCAACAGAGCAACUCCGUCUCAAAAAAAAUUUUUUUUUCUUUAACAUGGGAAGUAUUUUUUCCAAAGGCUCUUUCUAGGUUAAGAAAUUAUGAAAAUCUCCAAGAGGCUGAAUAUUUUUUAUUCUUGAUAUUAUUCUUAAUAGUCAUGCAUCACUUAAUGAUGGAGAUAUGUUCUGAGAAAUGUGUUAGGUGACUUCAUCAUUGUGCAAACUUCGUACGGUGAACUUACAGAAACCUAGAUGGUACAGCCUACCACACGUCUAGGUUAUAUGGUAUAGUCUAUUGCUCCAAAGCUACAACCCUGUACAGAAUGUUACUGUACAGAAUACUGUAGGCAACUAUAACACAAUGGUAUCUGUGUAUCUAAACACAGAAAAGGUACAGUAGAAAUAUGGCGUAAAAGAUAAAAAAUGGUACACUUGUAUAGGGCACUUACCAUAUAUGGAGUGAGUCAGUAAGAGAAUGUGAAAGCCUAGGACAUCACUGUAUGCUACUUUAUAGACACUGUACACUUACGCUAACUUAAAAUUAUAAAAAAUUUAUUUCAUCAAUAAUUAAGUUUACUGUAAUUUUUUAACUUUAUAAACUGUUUAAUUUUUAACUCUGACUCUUUUGGUAAUAACACAGCUUAAAAACACAAACACAUUGUACAGCUGUUUGUGUUUUUGUUGUACAGGAUAUUUUUUCUUUAUAUCCUUGUUCUAUAAGUUUUUUUCUAUUAAAAAAUGUUUUUCACUUUUAAAACCUUUUGUUAAAAACUAAGACAAAGAUACACAUUAGCACAGGCCUACUCAGGUUCAGGAUCAUCGGUAUCACUGUCUCCCACCUUCACAUCUUGUCCCACUGGAAGGUCAUCAGGGAUAAUAACAAGCUUGGAGCUGUCAUCUCCUGUGAUAACAAUGUCUUUUUCUGGAUACCUCCUGAAGGACCUGCCUGAGGCUGUCUUACAGCUGACAUUUUAAAAAAACAAGUAGUAGUAUUCUCUAAAAUAAUAAUAAAAAGGCCAGGCAUGGUGGCUCAUGCCUGUAAUCUCAGCACUUUGGGAGGCCGAGGCUGGCAGAUCACGAGGUCAGGAGUUUGAGACCAGCCUGGCCAAUAUGGUGAAACCCCAUCUCUACUAAAAAUACAAAAAUUAUCUGGGCAUGGUGGUGUGUGCCUGUAGUCCCAGAUACUCGGGAGGCUGAGGCAGAAGAAUUGCUUGAGCCCAGGAGGCGGGGGUUGCAGUGAGCCGAGAUCGCACCACUGCACUCCAGCCUAGGCGACACAGCAAGACUCCAUCUCAAAAAUAAUAAUAAUAAUAAUGAUAAAAGGUACAGUAAUACAUAAACUAGUAUAAUAAUUUGUCAUCAAGUAUUAUGUAUUGUAUAUAAUUUUAUGUGCUACACUUUUAUAUGACUGGUAGCACCGGUUUUUUUAUGCUAGCAUCACCGCAACUUGUGAGUAAUGAGUUGCACUAUGAUGUUAGGUUGGCUAUGAUGUCACUAGGUGCUAAGAAUUUUUCAACUUCAUUAUAAUUUUAUGGGGCUACCUUUGCAUGUGCAGUUGACCAAAACAUCAUUAUGCAGCAUAUAACUGUAUUUUAAACUGCUUUUCAAUUUUAAACAGUAAAAGUAGACACUUUGUGAAAAAUUAGUACCUACUAGGUUUGUCUCCUCUCUCCAAAACAAUUUUUCAGUUACAUGGUAUUUAUUUUAUCCAGGUUUGAAAUAUUUGCCUUUUAUUCUCUAAUUAUAAUUUCCAUAGUUGUUUAGUAUUAGUAAAGUUACAUAUUUAAACCAGCUAUACUUUACUAAAAUGUAAGUUUCAUGCAGGCAUGAUGAGUUAUUUGCUUUGUUCAAUGAUGUAUCUGAAGUGUCUAGAAGAAUGUCUGGCACAUAGUAGGCACUAAUAAAUACUUGUUGUUCAAUAAAUUAUUUUCCCAAUUUUUUACUUCCUGAGUUUAAAAUUUUCUCUAAUUGUAUUUGAUUGUUGCAUAUGGUAUAUAAAUAAACAUACACAUAUACACAGAUGUUUACCCCGUCCCAAGAAAAACUCAGGCAUGUUGUGUUCCUUGAGUUCCUUCAUGUUUGAAAAUGACUGUCUUUUGCCUGUAUGCUUGUGAUAAUUAAUACUGAGUGUCAACUUGAUUGUAUUGAAGGAUGUACAAUAUUAAUCCUGGUUGUGUCUGUGAGGGUAUUGCCAAAAGAGAUUAACAUUUGAGUCAGUGGGCUGUGGAAGGCAGACCCACCAUUAAUUUGGAUGGGCACCAUCUAAUCAGCUGCCAGCAUGUAUAAAACAGGCAGAAAAACGAGAAAAUGUUAGACUGGCCUAGCCUCCCAGCCCACAUCUUUCUCCCCUGCUGGAUGCCCUCUGCCCUCGAACAUCGGACUCCAAGCUCUUCAGUUUUGGAACUCGGACUGGCUCUCCUUGCUCCUCAGCCCGCAGAUGGCCUAUUGUGUGACCUUGUGAUAGUGUGAGUUAAUACUGAAUAAACUCAUAUAUGUGUGUGUGUGUGUAUGUGUGUGUGUGUGUGUGUAUAUAUAUAUAUAUAUACGUAUAUAUAUAUACGUAUAUAUAUAUAUAUAUAUCUAUAUGUGUAUAUAUAUAUAUAUAUAUAUAUAUAUAUAUAUAUAUAUAUAUGAGAUUUUGGUACCAGGAGUGUGGUUCAGAGGAACAGAAUAUUAAGGAUGGAGUAGUUAGGUUGGUUUGGGUGUUUCUGGAGGUGGCUGCUUAAUAUGAUUAGACCCAAAAAUGCUAAGGACUCUACUUCUAAUAGUAUGGAGAACACUGAUAGUCCUUGGUGUGAACUGUUUAAAGAGUUAUGCGAAAUAAAUGCAUUUGACACUCCUGAUUCAUUGCUCGUGGGAGGCAAGGAGUUUAGUGACUCUAUACAUAAUACCUUUGACCAUAUGUGGAGAACCAAGGAACAUAAUGAAGCUGGUUGGUUGGUUGCUCUUAAGUUCACUGGACAAAAUGAUGAAAGAAAAUAAUGAACUCAGGGAUUCUGUCUCCCAGUUUCAGAAACAGACACUGAGCCUCAAAUGUGCUGAGAUGGCCCUGAGUGAGAGUCUUAUCUCCUGUAGAGAAAGAGCUGAAAUUGUGGAAAAACAGACGCAAGCUCUUAUCACAUGAGUGGCUGAUCUGCAAUGAAAGGUGAAUGCACAGCCUCGCCAGGUGUCUACUGUUAAAGUGAAGGCAUUGAUUGGAAAAGAAUGGGACCCUGAAACUUGGAAUGGGGAUGUGUGGGAGGACCCUGAUGAAGCUGGGGACACUGAGCUUAUAAGAUCUGAUGAACAUUUUUUUGCCAGAAGGAACAGCUUCCCCAUCCCCAGUAGUGGGAACAUCCCCUCCCUGACCCAUGCUGCCAUCAGUCUUUCCACCUUUGUCUGAGGAGACACCUGUGAUGUCUGAGGCAACAGUGAUGGCAUCCCCUCAGGCAGUUGCCAGGCAAGAUAAUGUUGAUUCUCCUCAGGAGACACCCCCAACACCUCUCUUUGCUUCUAGACCUAUAACUAGACUAAAGUCCUGACGGGUGCCUAGAGGUGAGGUUGAGUGUGACCCAUAAGGAGGUGCACUACACUCAAAAAGAACUGCUUGAGUUUUCUGAUUUAUAUAAACAGAAAUCUGGAGAACCGGCAUGGGAAUGAAUAUUAAGGGUGUGGGAUAAUGGUGGAAGGAACAUAGAAUUGGAUCAGGCUGAAUUUAUUGAUUGGGCCCACUAAGUAGGGACACCAUUUAAUGUUGCAGCUCAGGGAGUUAAAAAGGUUCUAAUAGUUUAUUUUCUUGGUUAGCUAAAAUAUGGAUUAAAAGAUGGUCCACUGUGAGCAAGCUGGAAAUGCCUGAUCUCUCUUGGUUUAAUGUAGAGGAAGGGAUCCCAAGGCUUAGGGAGACUGGGAUGGUGGAGUGGAUUAGUCACUUUAGACCUACUCAUCCCACCUGAGAGGGUCCAGAAGAUAUAUCCUUGACCAAUGCCUUGCAAAAUAUAUUUGGGAGGGCAGCACCUGCAUCUUUGAAGAGCCCUGUAAUUGCUCUUUUCUGUAUGUCAGAGCUAACAGUGGGAACCACAGUCACUCAACUACAAAAUUUAAAUACAAUGGGAAUAACUGGAUCCCAAGGUGGCAGGGGCAAAGUAGCAGCACUCAACUGUAAAAGGCAGGGUGGGUAUAGCUACUGUAAUGGAAAGCAGAGGCAAAGUGGCAAUCAGAAUAGUCUGAUUCAUGUAGAGCUCUGGCAUUGGCUAAUUAAUCACAGUGCUCCUAGAAGUGAAAUUGAUAGGAAGCCUACUGCAUUCCUACUUAAUUUAUAUAAGCAGAAAACUUCUAAGUCAAAUGGAUAAAAUACUAAUUUAAAUUAUAAAAACAGAGAAUCAUGCCCCCUCAAUUAAUUUCCAGACAUGAGCCAGUUUACAGACCCAGAACCCCUUGAAUGAAGGGGAGGCUGGGUCCCCUUGAUGAAAGACCCCACUACAUUACUGACAGUAUCUUUCUCCCAUCCUUCCCCAAGGAGACUUCUUGCCUUUUACCAAGGUAACUGUAUCUUGGGGAAAGGGAAAUGAUCAGACACUUCAGGGACUACUGGACACUAGCUCUGAGCUGACGUUGAUUCCAGGGGACCGAAAACAUCAUUGUUGUCCUCCAGUUAAAUUAAUUAAUUAAAUAAAUUAAAUUAAUUACCAGUCAGGUAAUUAAUGGAGUUUUAGCUCAGGUCCAACUUACAGUGGGUCCAGUGUGUCCCCAAACUCAUCUUAUGAUUAUUUCCCCAGUGCCAGAAUGCAUAAUUGGCAUAGACAUACUUAGCAGCUGGCAGAACCCCCAUAUUGGCUCCCUGACUGGUAGGGUGAGGGCUAUUAUGGUGGGAAAGGCUAAAUGGAAGCCAUUAGAGCUGCCUCUAUCUAGAAAAAUAGUAAAUAAAAAACAAUAUCGCAUCCCUGGAGGGAUUGCUGAGAUUAGUGCCACCAUCAAGGACUUCAAAGAUGCAGGGGUGGUAAUUCCCACCAUAUCCCUGUUCAACUCUCCCAUUUGGCCUGUGCAGAAGAAAGAUGGAUCUUGGAGAAUGGCAGUGGAUUACCAUAAGCUUAACCCAGUGGUAACUCCAACUGGAGCUGCUGUACCAGGUUUCAUUGCUUGAGCAAAUUAACACAUCUCCUUGUACCUUGUAUGCAGCCAUUGACUUGGUAAAUGCCUUUUUCUCUAUGCCUGUCCAUAAGGCUCACUAGAAGCAAUUUGCCUUCAGCUGGCAAGGCCAGCAAUAUCCCUUUACUGUCCUACCUCAGGGAUAUAUCUACUCUCCAGUUUUGUGUCAUAAUCUUAUUCAGAGAGACCUUGAUCACUUUUCGCUUCCACAAGAUAUCACGCUGGUCCAUUACAUUAAUGACAUUAUGCUGAUUGAAUCCAGUGAGUGAGAAGUAGCAAACACACUGGACUUACUGGUGAGAUAUUUGCAUGCCAGAGGACCAGAAAUAAAUUCAACUACAAUUCAGGAAUCUUCUACCUCAGCAAAAUUUCUAGGGGUCCAGUGGUGUGGGGCCUAUCGAGAUAUUCCUUCUAAAGUGAAGGAUAAGUUGCUUCAUUUGGCCCCUCCUACAACCAAGAAAGAGGCACAAUGCCUAGUGGGCCUAUUUGGAUUUUGGGGGCAACACAUUUCUCAUUUGGGUGUGUUACUCCAGCCCAUUUAUUGAGUGACCCAAAAGGCUGCCAGUUUUGAGUAGGGUCCAGAACAGGAGAAGGCUCUGCAACAGGUCCAGGUUGCUGUGCAAGCUGCUCUGCCACUUGAGCCAUAUGACCCAGCAGAUCCAAUGGGUGCUUGAGGUGUCAGUAGCUGAUAGGGAUGCAGUUUGGGGCCCUUGGCAGGCCCUCAUAGGUGAAUAACAGCAGAGGCCUCUAGGAUUUUUGAGCAAGGCCCUGCCAUCUUCUGCAGAUAACUACUCUCCUUUUGAGAGACAUAUCUUGGCCUGUUACUAGGCUUUGGUGGAAACUGAAUGUUUGACUAAGGGUCAUCAAGUCAUCAUGCAACCUGAAUUGCCUAUCAUGAACUGGGUACUUUCUGACCCAUCUAGCUAUAAAGUGGGUCCUGCACAGCAGCAUUCCAUCAUCAAGUGGAAGUGGUAUAUACGUGACUAGGCUUGAGCAGGUCCUAAAGGCACAAGCAAGUUACAUGAGAAAGUGCCUCGAAUGCCCAUGGUCACCAAUCCUGCCACCCUGCCUUCUCUCCUCCAGCUUGCACCAAUGGCCUCAUGGGGAAUUCCCUAUGAUCAGUUGACAGAGGAAGAGAAGACUAGGGCCUGGUUCACAGAUGUUUCUGCAUGGUAUGCAGGAACCACCCAAAAGUGGACAGCUGCAGCACUACAGCCCCUUUCUAAGACAUCCCCGAAGGACAGUGGUGAAGGGAAAUCUUCCUGGAGGGCAGAACUUUGAGCAGUGCACCCGGUUGUGCACUUUGCAUGGAAGGAGAAAUGGCCAGAUGUGUGAUUAUAUACUGCUGAGACCAGCUUGGUCAGGGAGACCCCAACCCAGCGGCGCUAGAGGAAUUAAAGACACACACACAGAAAUAUAGAGGUGUAAAGUGGGAAAUCAGGGGUCUCACAGCCGUCAGAGCUGAGAGCCUAGAGCAGAGAUUUACCCAUGUAUUUAUUAACAGCAAGCCAGUCAUUAGGAUUGUUUCUAUAGAUAUUUGAUUAAUUAAAAGUGUCCCUUAUGGGAAACGAAGGGAUGAGCCAAAAUAAAGGGGUGGGUUUGGCUAGUUAUCUGCAGCAGGAACAUGCCCUUAAGGCACAGAUCACUCAUGCUAUUGUUUGUGGUUUAAGAACACCUUUAAGCGGUUUUCUGCCCUGGGUGGGCCAGGUGUUCUUUGCCCUCAUUCUGGUAAACCCACAACCUUCCAGCAUGGGUGUUAUGGCCAUCAUGAACAUGUCACAGUGCUGCAGAGAUUUUGUUUAUGGCCAGUUUUGGGGCCAGUUUAUGGCCAGAUUUUGGGGGGCUUGUUCCCAACAAUAUACUGAUUCAUGGGCUGUAGCCAAUGGUUUGGCUGGAUGGUCAGGGACUUGAAAGAAGCAUGAUUGGAAAAUUGGUGACAAAGAAAUCUGGGGAAGAGGUAUGUGGAUGGACCUCUCUGAGGGGUAAAAAACAGUGAAGAUAUUUGUAACCCAUGUGAGUGCUCACCAGUGGGUAACCUCAGCAUAGGAGAAUUUUAAUAAUCAAGCGGAUAGGAUGACCCACUUGUUCUGUAGACACCCCUCAGCCUCUUUCCCCAGCCACCCCUGCCAUCGCCCAAUGGGCCCAUGAACAAAGUGGCCAUGGUGGCAGGGAUGGAGGUUAUGCAUGGACUCAGCAACAUGGACUUCCACUCACCAAGGCUAACCUAGCUGCGGCCACUGCUGAGUGCCCAAUUUGCCAGCAGCAGAGACCAACACUGAGCCCUCAAUAUGGCACCAUUCCUCGGGGUGAUCAGCCAGUUACCUGGUGGCAGUUUGAUUAUAUUGGACCUCUUAAAUCAUAGAAAGAGCAGAGGUUUGUCCUCACUGGAACAGAUACUUACUCUGGAUAUGGGUUUGCCUAUCCUGCAUGCAAUGCUUCUGCCAAGAUGACCAUCCAUGGACUCAUGGCAUGCCUUAUCCACUGUCACGUUAUUCCACACAGCAUUGCCUCUGACCAAGAGACUCCCUUUACAGCUAAAGAAGUGUGGCAGUGGGCUCAUGCUCAUGGAAUUCACUCUUCUUACCAUGUUCCCCAUUACCCUGAAGCACCGUUCUAUCAAUAGAACGGUGGAAUGGCCUUUUGAAGUCACAAUGCCAACUAGGUGACAGUACUUUGCAGGGCUGGGGCAAAGUCCUCCAGAAAGCCAUGGAUGCUCUGAAGCAGCGUCCAAUAUAUGGUACUGUUUCUCCCAUAGCCAGGAUUCACAGGUCCAGGAAUCAAAGGGUGGAAAUGGAAGUGGCACCACUCACCAUCACCCCUAGCGAUCUACUAGUAAAAUUUUUGCUUCCUGUUCCUGCAACAUUACGUUCUGCUGGCUUAGAGGUCUUAGUUCCAGAGGGAGGAACACUGCCACCAGGAGACACAAUGAUUCCAUUAAACUGGAAGUUAAGAUUGCUACCUGGACACUUUGGGCUCCUAUUACCUUUAAGUCAACAGGCUAAGAAGGGAGUUACAGUGUUGGCUGGGGUGACUGACCUGGACUAUCAAGACAAAAUCAGUCUACUACUCCACAACAGAGGCAGGGAAGAGUACACAUGGAAUACAGGAGAUCCAUUAGGGUGUCUCUUAGUAUUACCAUGCCCUGUGAUUAAGAUUAACAGGAAACUACAACAGCGCAAUCCAGGCGGGACUACAAAUGGCCUAGACACUUCAGGAAUGAAGGUUUGGGUCACUCCACCAGGAAAAAACCAUGACCUCCUGAGGUGCCUGCUGAAGCCAAAUGGAAUACAGAACGGACAGUAGAAGAGGGUAGUCAUCAGUACCAGCUACGACCACAUGACCAGCUGCAGACACAAGGACUGUAAUUGUCAUGAGUAUUUCUUCCUUCUUUUGUUAAAAACAUGUUUGUGCAUGUAUACACUUGUACUAAGAAAAUAUCUCCAUUUUAUUUCCUUUUUCUGUUACCAUGUGACAUAAGAUUUAUUGACUUCACAUCAGCAUUUAAAUAUUAACUUUAUGUAAUAGUAUUUGGGUAGGAGAUUGGUGCGUUUCCGUUUGUACAAAGGAUGGUUUUAUUAUGUUAGAUGUAAUUAUGACCUUAUUAUUGUCUUUAUUUGAAGAUGAUGUGUGAUCUCAGGAGAUGUGUAUGGGUUCAAGCUGACAAGUAGUAGACUUAUGAUGGUUAGUGCUGAGGGUCAACUUGAUUGAAGGAUGCAAAAUAUUGAUCCUGGGUGUGUCUGUGAGGGUGUUGCCAAAGGAGAUUAACAUUUGAGUCAGUGGGCUGGGAAAGGCAGACCCACACUUAAUCUGGGUGGGCACCAUCUGAUCAGCUGCCAGGGUGGUUAGAAUAUAUAAAGCAGGCAGAAAAAUGUGAAAAGACAAGACUAGCCUAGCCUCCCAGCCUAGAUCUUUCUCCCGUGCUGGAUGCUUCCUACCCUCAAACAUCGGAUUCCAAGUUCUUGUUUUGGGG
rnacentral:lncRNA from 1 species